rnacentral:snRNA from 1 species
UAUAAUAAAAUAAUAAAAAUAUACUAAAAUUGGAACGAUACAGAGAAGAUUAGCAUGGCCCCUAAUAACGGGUGGUUGCCCAUUCUUCU